AUUGAACGCUGGCGGCAGGCCUAACACAUGCAAGUCGAACGAGUGGCGGACGGGUGUGUAAUGUCUGGGAAACUGCCUGAUGGAGGGGGUUAACUACCGGAAACGGUAGCUAAUACCGCAUACCAUCAGAUGUGCCCUGGUGGGAUUAGCUAGUUGGUGGGGUAACGGCUCAACAAGGCGACGUUCCCUAGCUGGUCUGAGAGGAUGACCAGCAACACUGAAACAGAGACACGGUCCAGACUCCUACGGGAGGCAGCAGUAGGGAAUAUUGCACAAUGGGCGCAAGCCUGAUGCAGCCAUGCCGCGUGUAUGAAGAAGGCCGUCGGGUUGUAAAGUACUUUCAGCGGGGAGGCGUUACCCGCAGAAGAAGCACCGGCUAACUCCGUGCCAGCAGCCGCGGUAAUUC
rnacentral:rRNA from 1 species